UUUGUAUGCUGGCAGUACCAAACCGAAGUUUAGCACUGUGCAGCUGAGAUUUUGUGCAGCCAGACGAUGCAUGAGAUGCUGAGUCUUCAGGAAAAGGGACCAAUGACUAAUAAAUCAGGUGUUUCUUCCUUCACCUACUCGGAUCAAUAAGAAGCAGGAGAAAAAAUUUCUUGUUUGCAUGAGACAACACAGACAAACAGCACCAUGUAGUGGGGAGCCACAGGGAAUCAACUCAGCUCCCCAGUACACCGAACAAUCUGAUUUCUCCAGCCCAAACUCUGAUAUAUUCAUAAUGAGUCCAGAAAGAAUCAGAGAAUGAUUCGCAGCAUAGCUGCAACUCCAUUACAACAGACAAACCCCAGCCUGCAGCUGAAGUUAUUCUUUUGCCAAAGGAACAGACAACUGCUAUUCAAGUAAAGGUAGCACAUGAACUUGAGAAAACUGUUACAUAAAAUCACAUCUUUCUACCUCUGGGGAGAGAGCAGCAACUGGCAGCUGCUCCAAGACGGUACUUUCUGAUCCCACCUCUGAUCAGUGCAGUGGACAAAGCAAAGCCAAGCUUCCUCCUGUCCCCCUCCAAAUUCCCUGGGCAGCCAAACUGCUGUGGAUGUGUGAAUAGUUCAGGAGCAGCAGCCUGGCCAGCAGGUGAAAGAAAUUACUCCUAGUACAUAUAGAAAAUACAGUCAUGAGAAGACACAUGGUUUGGGACAGGAAACUGCUAUGAAAUGCACUCUGGGCAACUGGGCAUGGAUCUUUUCCUCUCCCUGAGUGUCUACCAAACUGUCCAAAACUUUGCUGUUUGAGAAGAUAUGCAAUGCAGAAUGCAUGUCAUUCAUUGUGUCCAGCAAUAAACAAAAUAUUUGGUGCAUUUUUAAUGCUGUAAAACCUUUUAAAAUACUUUUAAACCUUCCACUGUGGGACAGAAUUAGAAUUGUUUUGCUAUCUGCAACAGGCCUGGCCUCCAAUCACAUAAUUAAGCAAUCACAAAUUGCAAAAUUGGUUUGUUUGGUUCCCAAACCACACAAAUACUUAUAAAAUAAAAGCUUUUUUGUUCGUCAGUUAGUGCACUGUAACUUACAGGUUAUGAACAACACAAUUUGGCAAAUUGGAGCUUGGAGACCACGUCCACAUCUCCCAGUGUUUUCCCCACACUGGAUACUUCACUCAGUGUGCUCUUUAUGGUUCCAGUGGCUGCAUGCACUGAGAUAA